CAGUAGCCGCGGGAAUACAGAGGGUGCAAGCGUUAAUUGGAAUUACUGGGCGUAAAGCGCGCGUAGGUGGUUUGUUAAGUUGGAUGUGAAAUCCCCGGGCUCAACCUGGGAACUGCAUCCAAAACUGGCAAGCUAGAGUAUGGUAGAGGGUGGUGGAAUUUCCUGUGUAGCGGUGAAAUGCGUAGAUAUAGGAAGGAACACCAGUGGCGAAGGCGACCACCUGGACUGAUACUGACACUGAGGUGCGAAAGCGUGGGGAGCAAACAGGAUUAGAUACCCCAGUAGUCCCUGUCUCUUAUAC
rnacentral:rRNA from 1 species